GCCAGGCACAGUGGCAUGUGCCUGUAGUCCCAGCUACUUGGGAGGCUGAGGUGGGAGGAUCAAUUGAGCCUAGGAGUUCUGGGCUGCAGUGCUCUAUGCCGAUCUGGUGUCUGCACUAAGUUCGGCAUCAAUAUGGUGACCUCCCAGGAGUCGGGGACCACCAGGUUGCUUAAGGAGGGGUGAACCGGCCCAGGUUGGAAACGGAACAGGUCAAAACUCCCAUGCUGAUCAGUAGUGGGAUCGUGCCUGUGAAUAGCCACUGCACUCCAGCCUGGGCAACAUAGCGAGACCCCGUCUCA
rnacentral:SRP_RNA from 1 species